GAGAAGUGGUUAGCUUUGGGGAGUGGCUUGUGUCCCUUGACUAAGACCCCCUUGACCAAACUGUCUGUACGCCCCAAUAGAACUCUCCGACAGUCCAUUGAGGAGUGGAAGAACAGGAACAUCAUGAUCACUAUUGCUUCCAUGAAACCUGAGAUACAGUCGAGGGAUGAAGAACAAGUGCUUCCUUCUUUGAAGAAACUUAGUGAAUUAUGUGAGAAAAGUGAGCUGCAUCGGGAAUGGGUGGUUAUGGAGGAUUACAUACCGAUAGUUACAGCUCUUCUUCAUGCUAAAAACAGUGAGAUCAGAUUGCAUGCUUUAGCCAUCCUGUGUUCCCUUGCAAAGGAUAGUGAUGAUAACAAGGUAAGAUUUCAUUCAACUCAUGUUUAUGUCAAAGCUACAUUGAUUUUACUGAUCAAUGACAAAUGCUCACAGCAUUGGAACUUACUUGUGUCAGGAGGCCAUUGCUAAUGUUAAAGACAGCAUCACGUACGUUGUUUACUCGCUUGCACGUAAAGUUGAAGAAAGCAUGUUGGCACUGCAGUUGAUCUUGGAACUUUCGAGAAUUGUGAAUGUAAGGAAUCUCAUUGGAGACGC
rnacentral:lncRNA from 1 species